AUCCAGCUGACGAGUCUCAAAUUGAACGAAAUGCGCGUCAAACUGGAU
rnacentral:hammerhead_ribozyme from 1 species